GUUCCGGUGGCCUAGUGGUUAGAACGUCCGCCUCGGAUGCGGAUGCGGGAGAACGUGGGUUCGAUCCCCGUUCGAGUCA